rnacentral:rRNA from 1 species
UGACCGCUGGCGGUAGGCCUACCACAUGCACGUCGAACGGCAGCACAGUAAGAGCUUGCUCUUACGGGUGGCGAGUGGCGGACGGGUGAGGAAUACAUCGGAAUCUACUUUUUCGUGGGGGGUAACGUAGGGAAACUUACGCUAAUACCGCAUACGACCUACGGGUGAAAGCAGGGGAUCUUCGGACCUUGCGCGAUUGAAUGAGCCGAUGUCGGAUUAGCUAGUUGGCGGGGUAAAGGCCCACCAAGGCGACGAUCCGUAGCUGGUCUGAGAGGAUGAUCAGCCACACUGGAACUGAGACACGGUCCAGACUCCUACGGGAGGCAGCAGUGGGGAAUAUUGGACAAUGGGCGCAAGCCUGAUCCAGCCAUACCGCGUGGGUGAAGAAGGCCUUCGGGUUGUAAAGCCCUUUUGUUGGGAAAGAAAAGCAGCAGGUUAAUACCCCGCUGUUCUGACGGUACCCAAAGAAUAAGCACCGGCUAACUUCGUG